UACGGAGGGUGCAAGCGUUAUCCGGAUUCACUGGGUUUAAAGGGUGCGUAGGAGGGCAGGUAAGUCCGUGGUGAAAUCUCUGAGCUUAACUCAGAAACUGCCGUGGAUACUACCGGUCUUGAAUAUCGUGGAGGUGAGCGGAAUAUGUCAUGUAGCGGUGAAAUGCUUAGAUAUGACAUAGAACACCAAUUGCGAAGGCAGCUCACUACCCGAAUAUUGACUCUGAGGCACGAAAGCGUGGGGAUCAAACAGG
rnacentral:rRNA from 1 species